UAUAAUACAAAAAGUAUCCUCUUCUUUUUAAAGAUUUUAUUUAUUUAUUCAUAGGAAACAAGAGAGAGAGAGACAGAGACAUAGGCAGAGGGGAGAAGCAGGCCACCCAUGGGACUCCAAUCCUAGGACCCCGGGACCACGACCUGAGCUCAACCAAUGAGCCACCCAGGAAUAAAGUUGUAGCUGAUACUUUACCCACACAGUGAGAGAAUAUAUUCCUAAAUCUGCCUGGAAGUUUUGUUACUUAUUGUGGACCAGUGUGGUAUGCUGUAAGGCAGAUGUGAAUGAAACUGAGCCAGCUCUGACCCUGCAGAGGUAGACCAAUAUCCUAGAAGACCAUCAUAAUCUUGAAUAAUCUUAGAGAACAAAGUUGCUCCAUUAAUCUGGACCACUAACUCAUAUACUACUAAGAGAAAUAAAGUUCUCAUUUAAAUAAAGAAAUAAGGCACAGAAAGAUUUAAGGAACUUACUUAAGAUCAUAUGGCAGUGGCAGAAUCAGUAUUCAAGUACAGGCACUUGGGCUCCAAGUCGGACAGAACGAAAAAGGAAUGGCUAAGGAAUAAUUAGGAGCUUACCCUUCCUAUGUCAAAUGAUUUAAAUGGUCUAAACAAGUACUAAAGGGGAUGCAAGACAAAAUGACCAUGGAAAGAAGAAGCCAGUUUAAAACUUCAUUUGUACUUGGGCAACUGAUAGCAGACUGCUGCCACCCACCAAAACCCAAACACAUCCCAUACACAAAAACAAGAAUACCCAAACACAACAUAGCCAAACACCUUUAGAUACAAACUUGUUUAAGUCAGGGAGUGUAUCUUAUUUUUAUUUAUUCACUUCUAACACUUUUUAAAUGCUUAUUAUUUACGAUAGGCUGGGUAUAAAUACAGGGAAUAAUCCAAACCAGGUCCCUAUAUCCAGAGAGCUAAAGGUACUAAACAAGACACAGGUUAAUUAAUAUGAGUGCUACAAACAUCUAGAGAGCUAUGGACAUCUAUAAUGUUACCUGGAGGACCAAGAAAGGUGUUCCAGAAAAAAGAGAUAUUUCAGACUUAUACUGGUUCUCUACUGCUGCAUAACAAAUUACCACAGACUUAGUAGCUUAAGACAGCAGUCACUUAUUAAUUCACAGUUCUGUAGGGCAGAAGUCCAGGCAUGGUGUGGCUGCUCAGGAUCUCUUCUAAAGCUAAAAACAGAGUGUCAGGGAGUUCUGUUCUCAUCAAAAGACCUAAGGAAGAAUCUACUUUUAGGUUCAUUUAGGUAAAAUUGAGUUACUUGUGGUUGUGAGAUUGAGUUUUCAGUUUUCCUUCUUGACAGCCAGCCUUCUCUGUACCUAAAGACUGCCCAAUCCUUACCUGUGCUCCCCCUUCAAAGUCAGCAAGAGACACUCUGUCUCACAUCAAAACCCUUAAUGCCUUUGUUUCUGACUCUAAAUACACAAUUAAAGAGUUCAUGUAAUUAGGUCAGGCCCACCCAGAUAAUCUCACUUUCCUAGUCAACUGUGCCAGAUGUCAUAAACUAAUCACAGGAGUGCUAUCUUACCAUAUUUAUAGUACAGAAGAUCAUACAGAAAUGCACAUGGUGUGGGGGGAAGGUGAGAUUCCUGUAGACCAUCUUAGGAAUUCUGCCUACCAUUAGGGGCAACCUAAAGAAUGAACAGAAACUGAAGAUGAGGCAAGGGAGGUGGAGACCGUGAGGGCACAACUGAUAUCCUGAGUCAGGAAAGAGCAUGGAAAAGUAGAGGAAAAUAGUAUGUCUCACUGGACAUACCAGCAUAAUAACUGGUACCCAGUACCAGUCUUCCCAGUACCCAGCAUAAUAACUGGGACUAAUUUGUCAAGGGAAUGAACUAACAUACCAAGUUAUACCAAAUCAAGCUAGCAAGUACUUACUAAGAGCUUAUGUACUUAUAGCUAUGAGAAAAGCCAAGAAAUUUCUUGUAAUACUAAGCCAAAAGGCAGAACUGAAGGGUGAUAAACCAGAGGAGACAACAUUAACAGAGAAAACUGGACAUUAAGAAAACUGGGCCCGUAUCUCUUCUAAAUAUAAGUGACCAAAUCAAACUCCAAGGGCUUUGGCUUUGCUUCAUCUUUAACAGAGAUGAUUUAACUACUUGAUUUCUAACAUCCCUUUCCAAUACUAACUGUACUACAAAAUGGAAGGCACUGGUUCUUGCUCUGAGGCAAAUUCUAUUUAGGAAGUUUAUUUUUUUAAAUAUUUAUUUAUUCAUGAGAGACACACAGAGAGAGGCAGAGAC